AUACGGAGGGUGCAAGCGUUAAUCGGAAUUACGGGGCGUAAAGAGUACGUAGGUGGUUCGUUAAGUCAGAUGUGAAAGCCCAGGGCUCAACCUUGGAACUGCAUUUGAAACUGGCAAACUAGAGUAUGGUAGAGGGGGGUAGAAUUCAUAGUGUAGCGGUGAAAUGCGUAGAUAUUAUGAGGAAUACCAGUGGCGAAGGCGGCCCCCUGGACCAAUACUGACACUGAGGUACGAAAGCGUGGGUAGCGAACAGGAUUAGAAACCCUAGUAGUCC
rnacentral:rRNA from 1 species